GAUCUUUAGCUCAAAGGGUAGAGCGCUUGAGAAUGGCUCAAGAGAUGGUGGUUCGAAUCCACCAAGGUCCU
rnacentral:tRNA from 1 species